AACGAACGCUGGCGGCAGGCCUAACACAUGCAAGUCGAACGCCGUAGCAAUACGGAGUGGCAGACGGGUGAGUAACACGUGGGAACAUACCCUUCGGUUCGGAAUAACUCAGGGAAACUUGAGCUAAUACCGGAUACGUCCGCGAGGAGAAAGAUUCAUCGCCGGAGGAUUGGCCCGCGUCUGAUUAGCUUGUUGGUGAGGUAACGGCUCACCAAGGCGACGAUCAGUAGCUGGUCUGAGAGGAUGAUCAGCCACAUUGGGACUGAGACACGGCCCAAACUCCUACGGGAGGCAGCAGUGGGGAAUAUUGGACAAUGGGCGCAAGCCUGAUCCAGCCAUGCCGCGUGAGUGAUGAAGGCCCUAGGGUUGUAAAGCUCUUUUACCCGGGAAGAUAAUGACUGUACCGGGAGAAUAAGCCCCGGCUAACUUCGUGCCAGCAGCCG
rnacentral:rRNA from 1 species